UUUUUCAUUAAAGAGAGAAAUCAACUAUUCAGGACCGGCCCCCACCUUUCCUCAGGAGUCAUUUCUGUUCCGCACAGGCCUGCUGAACUGGGUGCUUUAUAUAGGACACUGUCAUCUCUCAAGUACCCAUCUUGGAGGGUACGGACCCCACAUGAGGAAAGGACCAACCACACCGAGCUCAGUUAUGGCACACACAGUGGGACCUAGACAAAGGGAGAGGGUGACCGACAUCCCAACUAGGGUCCCCAGGCAGGUGGCUGGGACACUAUUUGCAAUCAGCAAGGAACCCUGCUGCCCUUAGACUCCCCACAGAGCAAGCAGAACUUGCAGAAUGGGGUAAAAACACUCUAUUAAAGAUUUUUUAAACCUAUUUAUAUUGUAAUAAAGUAAAUGUAAAUAAAAUUUA
rnacentral:lncRNA from 1 species